rnacentral:rRNA from 1 species
AGCAGCCGCGGUAAUUCCAGCUCCAAUAGCGUAUAUUAAAGUUGUUGCAGUUAAAAAGCUCGUAGUUGAAUUUCGGGAUCAAUAUGUCGGUCGUGCUUCGGUACGUACUGGCAUCAUUGGUUUCUCCCUUCUGACAAGCCAUGAUGUCAUUAAUUUGGUGUUAUGGGGAGUUAGGACUGUUACUUUGAAAAAUUAGAGUGUUUAAAGCAGGCAUUAGCUUGAAUACAUUAGCAUGGAAUAAUGAAAUAGGACGUUUGACCCUAUUUUGUUGGUUUCUAGGAUCGACGUAAUGAUUAAUAGGGAUAGUUGGGGGCAUUAGUAUUCAAUUGUCAGAGGUGAAAUUCUUGGAUUUAUUGAAGACUAACUACUGCGAAAGCAUUUGCCAAGGAUGUUUUCAUUAAUCAAGAACGAAAGUUAGGGGAUCGAAGACGAUCAGAUACCGUCGUAGUCUUAACCAUAAACUAUGCCGACUAGGGAUCGGAUGAUGUUAAUUUUUAAUGUACUCAUUCGGCGCCUUAAC